GGCCUGAUGGUCUAGUAGCAUGAUUCCUGCUUUGGGCUUGAGUGAUCUGAUCACUCAAAUCUGCCUGCAGGAGGUCACGGGUUCAAUUCCCGUUCAGGCCC
rfam:Cylindrobasidium torrendii FP15055 ss-10 unplaced genomic scaffold CYLTOscaffold_195, whole genome shotgun sequence.